rnacentral:tRNA from 1 species
GGGCCCUUAGCUCAUCUGGGAGAGCGGCGGUUUUGCAAGCCGCAGGCAGGGGGUUCAAGUCCCCCAGGGUCCA